UUAACCGUAUAGGGGAGCCGGAGGGAAACCGAGUCUUAAUUGGGCGUUAAGUUGCAGGGUAUAGACCCGAAACCCGGUGAUCUAGCCAUGGGCAGGUUGAAGGUUGGGUAACACUAACUGGAGGACCGAACCGACUAAUGUUGAAAAAUUAGCGGAUGACCUGUGGCUGGGGGUGAAAGGCCAAUCAAACCGGGAGAUAGCUGGUUCUCCCCGAAAGCUAUUUAGGUAGCGCCUCGUGAACUCAUCUCCGGGGGUAGAGCACUGUUUCGGCUAGGGGGCCAUCCCGACUUACCAACCCGAUGCAAACUGCGAAUACCGAAGAAUGUUAUCACGGGAGACACACGGCGGGUGCUAACGUCCGUCGUGAAGAGGGAAACAACCCAGACCGCCAGCUAAGGUCCCAAAGUCAUGGUUAAGUGGGAAACGAUGUGGGAAGGCCCAGACAGCCAGGAUGUUGGCUUAGAAGCAGCCAUCAUUUAAAGAAAGCGUAAUAGCUCACUGGUCGAGUCGGCCUGCGCGGAAGAUGUAACGGGGCUAAACCAUGCACCGAAGCUGCGGCAGCGACGCUGAUGCGUUGUUGGGUAGGGGAGCGUUCUGUAAGCCUGUGAAGGUGGCCUGUGAGGGUUGCUGGAGGUAUCAGAAGUGCGAAUGCUGACAUAAGUAACGAUAAAGCGGGUGAAAAGCCCGCUCGCCGGAAGACCAAGGGUUCCUGUCCAACGUUAAUCGGGGCAGGGUGAGUCGACCCCUAAGGCGAGGCCGAAAGGCGUAGUCGAUGGGAAACGGGUUAAUAUUCCCGUACUUGGUGUUACUGCGAAGGGGGGACGGAGAAGGCUAUGUUGGCCGGGCGACGGUUGUCCCGGUUUAAGCGUGUAGGCUGGUUUUCCAGGCAAAUCCGGAAAAUCAAGGCUGAGGCGUGAUGACGAGGCACUACGGUGCUGAAGCAACAAAUGCCCUGCUUCCAGGAAAAGCCUCUAAGCAUCAGGUAACAUCAAAUCGUACCCCAAACCGACACAGGUGGUCAGGUAGAGAAUACCAAGGCGCUUGAGAGAACUCGGGUGAAGGAACUAGGCAAAAUGGUGCCGUAACUUCGGGAGAAGGCACGCUGACACGUAGGUGAAGUGAUUUACUC
rnacentral:rRNA from 1 species